rnacentral:rRNA from 1 species
UACGUAGGUGGCAAGCGUUGUCCGGAAUUAUUGGGCGUAAAGCGCGCGCAGGCGGCCUUUUUAAGUCUGAUGUGAAAGCCCACGGCUCAACCGUGGAAGGUCAUUGGAAACUGAAAGGCUUGAGUACAGAAGAGGAAAGCGGAAUUCCACGUGUAGCGGUGAAAUGCGUAGAGAAUGUGGAGGAACACCAGUGGCGAAGGCGGCUUUCUGGUCUGUAACUGACGCUGAGGCGCGAAAAGCGUGGGGGAGCAAACAGGAUUAGAAA